GAUGCGUUCCAUUAGAUAGUAGGCGGGGUAACGGCCCACCUAGUCUUCGAUGGAUAGGGGUUCUGAGAGGAAGGUCCCCCACAUUGGAACUGAGACACGGUCCAAACUCCUACGGGAGGCAGCAGUGAGGAAUAUUGGUCAAUGGGCGAGAGCCUGAACCAGCCAAGUAGCGUGAAGGAUGACUGCCCUAUGGGUUGUAAACUUCUUUUAUAAAGGAAUAAAGUCGGGUAUGGAUACCCGUUUGCAUGUACUUUAUGAAUAAGGAUCGGCUAACUCCGUGCCAGCAGCCGCGGUAAUACGGAGGAUCCGAGCGUUAUCCGGAUUUAUUGGGUUUAAAGGGAGCGUAGAUGGAUGUUUAAGUCAGUUGUGAAAGUUUGCGGCUCAACCGUAAAAUUGCAGUUGAUACUGGAUAUCUUGAGUGCAGUUGAGGCAGGCGGAAUUCGUGGUGUAGCGGUGAAAUGCUUAGAUAUCACGAAGAACUCCGAUUGCGAAGGCAGCCUGCUAAGCUGCAACUGACAUUGAGGCUCGAAAGUGUGGGUAUCAAACAGGAUUAGAUACCCUGGUAGUCCACACGGUAAACGAUGAAUACUCGCUGUUUGCGAUAUACNUGCAAGCGGCCAAGCGAAAGCGUUAAGUAUUCCACCUGGGGAGUACGCCGGCAACGGUGAAACUCAAAGGAAUUGACGGGGGCCCGCACAAGCGGAGGAACAUGUGGUUUAAUUCGAUGAUACGCGAGGAACCUUACCCGGGCUUAAAUUGCAGAUGAAUUACGGUGAAAGCCGUAAGCCGCAAGGCAUCUGUGAAGGUGCUGCAUGGUUGUCGUCAGCUCGUGCCGUGAGGUGUCGGCUUAAGUGCCAUAACGAGCGCAACCCUUGUUGUCAGUUACUAACAGGUUCUGCUGAGGACUCUGACAAGACUGCCAUCGUAAGAUGUGAGGAAGGUGGGGAUGACGUCAAAUCAGCACGGCCCUUACGUCCGGGGCUACACACGUGUUACAAUGGGGGGUACAGAGGGCCGCUACCACGCGAGUGGAUGCCAAUCCCCAAAACCUCUCUCAGUUCGGACUGGAGUCUGCAACCCGACUCCACGAAGCUGGAUUCGCUAGUA
rnacentral:rRNA from 1 species